rnacentral:rRNA from 1 species
GACGAACCGUGCGAACGUUGUUCGGAAUCACUGGGCUUAAAGGGCGCGUAGGCGGGCAAGCAAGUCCGGGGUGAAAGCCCCCAGCUCAACUGGGGAAGUGCCUUGGAAACUGCUUGUCUCGAGGGAGGUAGGGGCCUGUGGAACUUCGGGUGGAGCGGUGAAAUGCGUUGAGAUCGGAAGGAACGCCCGUGGCGAAAGCGAGAUCCUGGACGUUUUCUGACGCUGAGACGCGAAAGCUAGGGUAGCGAACGGG